UUUGGCAAUGUAUAUGACGCAUGUAAAACGUAGUAAUGUGGUUUUGGUCACCAGACAAUCACAUCCAUAUAUGGUUCUUCCCCAAAUGGUUGACACAAAUAUGGAAGCACACAGUUUCAGCACAAACACACUAAACACUGUUGGGAUGAACUGGAAUGCUGACUGCACACCAGAACUCUUCAGCUAACAUUGGUGCCUGACCUCAAAAUUGCUCACGUGGCUAAGCGAGCAAAUCUUCACAGCCGUGGUUCAAAGUCUAGUGAAAGCCAUCGAAAAGAUUGGAGCAUAAGACAACUUGGUCACAACUUGGACCUUCAUGCAGGCCGUGAUCGGAAGUAGAACUUGGAAUCAAAUUAUGCACAUCAUUUAAUUGUGCAAAAUAAUAUCAUGGUUAUGCUUCAGAGUCUUCACUGUGAGUCUACAGUCUACAGGACUUGGCAUGAAGAAUGCUGUGCUAUAACAUUACACUUUAAUUCAUAAUGCAUUCCAGGUUGGACUGGCUAAAGGUCUUGCCAAAUCAAGAGACCAUAUUAAGACCAUGUAGUAUGAUAAACCCCAUUAAGAUGAUCAAAUCAGAUGUGUUUAGAUCUUUGGAUCCCUUAUAAUGACAUACAGAGAUAAUAGCAGCUAAUUGCCAUGAACUUUAUAGUGAAACACUACACCUUUAAGGCAAUGUUAUUGUUCUGUAAUGCUAGCUAUUACACCAGCCAUCAGGAAAACAACCGUUUCGGUUACAAUAACAGAGAAAAAUCAAUCAUUUUACAAUUGUAUUAUUAAAUAUAACAGAUCUCUCUCUGAUUCAGGGCCUGCUCUUUACUAGCAAUAAUCAAUUGAAGGUGUACGAUUAAAGUUGAAACAGACUUUAUGCUUCGUAAAAUGAUCAAAUCAAAAAACAGCAGA